rnacentral:rRNA from 1 species
CCUACGGGUGGCAGCAGUCGAGAAUCAUUCACAAUGGGGGAAACCCUGAUGGUGCGACGCCGCGUGGGGGAAUGAAGGUCUUCGGAUUGUAAACCCCUGUCAUGUGGGAGCAAAUUAAAAAGAUAGUACCACAAGAGGAAGAGACGGCUAACUCUGUGCCAGCAGCCGCGGGAAUACAGCGGUCUCAAGCGUUGUUCUGAAUCACUGGGCGUAAAGCGUGCGUAGGCUGUUUCGUAAGUCGUGUGUGAAAGGCGCGGGCUCAACCCGCGGACGGCACAUGAUACUGCGAGACUAGAGUAAUGGAGGGGGAACCGGAAUUCUCGGUGUAGCAGUGAAAUGCGUAGAUAUCGAGAGGAACACUCGUGGCGAAGGCGGGUUCCUGGACAUUAACUGACGCUGAGGCACGAAGGCCAGGGGAGCGAAAGGGAUUAGAUACCCCUGUAGUC